UACGAGGGGGGCGAGCGUUGUUCGGAAUUAUUGGGCGUAAAGGGCGCGUAGGCGGUGCGGUAAGUCACCUGUGAAACCUCUAGGCUUAACCUAGAGCCUGCAGGCGAAACUGCCGUGCUGGAGUGUGGGAGAGGUGCGUGGAAUUCCCGGUGUAGCGGUGAAAUUCGUAGAGAUCUGGAGGAACACCGGCGGCGAAGGCGGCCUGCUGGGGCUUUUCUGACGCUGAGGCGCGAAAGCGUGGGGAGCAAACAGG
rnacentral:rRNA from 1 species